ACACACACACACACACACACACUUGUGUGUGUGUGUGUGUGUGU
rnacentral:miRNA from 1 species